GAUGAACGCUGGCGGCGUGCCUAAUACAUGCAAGUCGAGCGAACAGAUGAGGAGCUUGCUCCUCUGACGUUAGCGGCGGACGGGUGGGUAACACGUGGAUAACCUACCUAUAAGACUGGGAUAACUUCGGGAAACCGGAGCUAAUACCGGAUAAUAUAUUGAACCGCAUGGUUCAAUAGUGAAAGACGGUUUUGCUGUCACUUAUAGAUGGAUCCGCGCCGCAUUAGCUAGUUGGUAAGGUAACGGCUUACCAAGGCAACGAUGCGUAGCCGACCUGAGAGGGUGAUCGGCCACACUGGAACUGAGACACGGUCCAGACUCCUACGGGAGGCAGCAGUAGGGAAUCUUCCGCAAUGGGCGAAAGCCUGACGGGGCAACGCCGCGUGAGUGAUGAAGGUCUUCGGAUCGUAAAACUCUGUUAUUAGGGAAGAACAAAUGUGUAAGUAACUAUGCACGUCUUGACGGUACCUAAUCAGAAAGCCACGGCUAACUACGUG
rnacentral:rRNA from 1 species